UACGAAGGGGGCUAGCGUUGUUCGGAAUUACUGGGCGUAAAGCGCACGUAGGCGGAUCUGUAAGUAGGGGGUGGAAUCCCCGGGCUCAACCCGGGAACUGCCUUCUAGACUGCAGACCUUGAGAUCAGGAGAGGCGAGCGGAAUUCCGAGUGUAGAGGUGAAAUUCGUAGAUAUUCGGAGGAACACCAGUGGCGAAGGCGGCUCGCUGGACUGAUACUGACGCUGAGGUGCGAAAGCGUGGGGAGCAAACAGG
rnacentral:rRNA from 1 species